UACGACUAUAUCACAUUGAAACACCGAUUCCCGUACGAUCAUCGAAGUUGAGCAAUAUCGUGUCUGGUUAGUACCUAGAUAGGUGACUGCUUGGGAAUAUCAG